rnacentral:rRNA from 1 species
ACUAUUAGUUAAGUUCUUUAAACUCAAAGAAUUUGGCGGUAUUUUAUCUAUUUAGAGGAACCUGUUCUAUAAUUGAUGAUUCACGAUUAUAUUAACUUUAUUUAUUUGUUUACAUAUCUCCGUUAUCAGAAAAUUUUAUUAGAAUUUAAAUUUUCUAUUAUCUUUAUUAAGAUAUAUUUCAGGUCAAGGUAUAGCUUAUAAUAAAGUAGAGGUGGGUUACAAUGAAUAUAUUUAAAUGGAUAUUAAUAUUUAUAAUUAAUUGAAGGUGGAUUUAAUAGUAAUUAAGGUUUUAUUACUUUAAUGAUAUAAGCUCUAAGAUAUGU